UCCCUUCCUGUGUGUGCAUAAUUGACCAGUCAACAUGUGUCUUAUGUCCCAACUGAAUUAACUAUACGUUUCCUUAGAGAGGUUGCAAUUUGGUCAUAGUAAAUUUGGUGUCAUAUGAUUAGCUAUUACCCUUUUGUUUUGGCUGUGACUGAAACCUUAUAUUUAGGAGGUGAUCUUCUGGCUUUGGUAGUUUGACUUUAUUUGAUACUAUUUCUUUUGAUAUCCAACAAUCUGGAACAUGAAACUAUGAUCUACUGAAGAUGAAAAGAUGAACACAUAGCCUACUUUGAUUAGCUAAUUCUGUGCUGCUGCUUGUUGUCAAGUAGUGCAGCAUUUGUACUGUCAGAUUUAGUCUGAGCAUCUUAUUUUUCUGCCAUUCCAAUUUUUCCUGUUUAUUUAAGUAUUAAUCAGUACACCCACAUAAAAAAAUCAUUCACUUCUAAUACUAUCAUCUCACACUCUUACAACAAGUGCAUCCCAACCUCCCCUAUGGACAACUCGUUGGGUACUCUUGUGUAUCUAUCUUAAACAUGCAUCAUCUGAAUUAUUUAUUCACUCAGGAUGACACUUGACAAAAUUCAUCGGCAGUAAAUUCACCUAUGUUGCAUACAUAGUGAUUCACCUAAAUUUCAUAUGCACUAAUUCCUCUGUCACUCCUAUGUUAAAGAGUUGGGCACAACUAUGACAAGCAGAAGAUUGGUGAACGGGAUGAAACAAUCGAUACCAAUGAGAAUGUAGUUGGUGCUAACAAAAGGUGACACCUCCAGUAUGUCCUUGCUAUUUUUUCCGUCUAGAUCUAAAUAUGUGUUCCUACAAAGAGUAAAUAGCAACAUCAGUGCUGGCCUUCCAUCUGAAUCUGAGACAUUGAAUGGGAUCCUGUCAUUGCUAAGAAAAGCUAAGGAGGUCACCACCAAGAAUACCAAGGCCGCGUCGACGGACUCAAAAUUUCAAGUGUCAUUGCAUUGUCGAGUAUGUUCAGCGGGAUGGAAAGCAACAAGCAGCUGGGGGGUCAGGAUGACAAAGAUUGGUUCAACGUCGGCUGCUUCAUUGUGCCAGUGCCACACUUAGGCUGGUACAUGCACGUACGACCAUGGCGUCGGUGCCACUUCUUCAUCUUCUCCCCAACUGGCCCAUCCUCGCCAUUUCCACCGGGAUAAGCGAGUUGGAGGAAGAUGGAGAGGUGAGCUGGUUCUACUCAUUGACAGGAAAUUAUUUGGGCAUAACUUCCUUUUCGAAACAAGAAAUGAAAAUGUUCCCAUGAGAUUGAUUGAUCGUGCCCCGCUUUUGGAUGCUGUCGUUGCUUUUGAACCAAUGUCAUCUAUGUCAUCGGUCA